UACGUAGGGGGCAAGCGUUGUCCGGAAUCAUUGGGCGUAAAGGGCGCGUAGGCGGUUCGAUAAGUCCGUGUGAAAGCCCCGGCUCAACUGGGGAACUGCACGGGAAACUGACGGACUUGAGUUCGGGAGAGGGAAGCGGAAUUCCGGGUGUAGCGGUGGAAAUGCGUAGAUAUCCGGAGGAACACCGGUGGCGAAGGCGGCUUCCUGGACCGACAC
rnacentral:rRNA from 1 species